GUGCGGUUCGCAGCCCCCGUCCUCCCGCGGCCCGCGCGGUUCGACGCCGCCCCGCCGUACUCCGUGCCCACGUGGUUCGCCGCCGCCCCGCCGCGCGCGGUUGGCCCCCGCCGCCGCCCCCGCUGCCGCGAGCGUGAGCAGAUGAGCAGCCCCCCCGCUGGUCCUCCUCUGCUGCCCCCGCCUCAGAUGCACACUUCUCUAGAAGUGCAGGCAGCCAGCAGCGAAGGCGAUCUGCUAGGCGUUUCAUCUCCAACCUCACGCAGUAGGCACUACCGUUCGAUUCCAUCAUCAAGGUCAGCAACAUCGUCGUCGUGCUUUAGUGAGUAUCCAUGGAGCUUCUCCACGGUGAUGGUGUGGAAGGCGCUGAUGCCCUGUCCGUUGGGCUCGGUUCGGGCGUCAUUGACAUGUAUGAGAUGAGGAAACGUAGAAGGGAAGGUGAUUUCUGCGGGAGGAGCAAGAGGCGAUCCGGCUAACAAGUCGUAUAUUUGGGGUAGUGUGUAGGAUCUUCACAGUUUCAAAUACGGCUAUUCCUGGCACCGCUAUCUCUUGCGUGAAUGUCCUCUUGGUUUCAAUGUCGGUGCCUACAUCAAUGUUCUACCAUGAUGUUAUCAGUUUAAGCUCCUACCAUGGUCAGUCAUAAAGCAUCAAAAUCUAGCUACAACAUAUGUUGAUGUUUGCAGCCAAACCAAGGUUAAAUUAUGAACAACUGAUAUUUAUAGCGAAGUUGGUGAUCAGAUCGGAUUCGAGGAUCAUCCUCUCUCAUGUGUUACGUAUUAGUGAUGCCUACAUGACGGUGGAAAAUGUACGAAUAUGCAGCGUUGACAGUAACAAGGAAAAAAUGAUGUUUCAUUUUGUCUGUUUGGCUCUGAGAUAUAUUAAAAUUGGACAUAUCCAGUGAGGCGGCUUGAUGGAUCAUUGGCCUCAUGGCAAAAUUGGGGACGGAGGAGGGAGGAGGCUUCAUAUAAGCAUGACUUCAAAAGCUCAGGGAGAUCAAACCGAAGAAAGACAACACUCAGCGCAACAUGCUCGUGUCGAUGAUAUGGGUGCAGAGGAAGACUGUGAGGAUGAUCAGUGAGAGCAGAUUUGCUAGAAUAUCACUUUGCAAAACCCAUGAUCCAAUCCAUGUUUUGUCCUUACAAAUAGAUAAAUGCAUGAAGGGAU